rnacentral:rRNA from 1 species
GAUUAACGCUAGCGGCAGGCCUAAUACAUGCAAGUCGAACGGCAGCACGGGUAGCAAUACCUGGUGGCGAGUGGCGCACGGGUGCGUAACGCGUAUGCAAUCUACCUGUAACUGGGGAAUAGCCUUCCGAAAGGAAGAUUAACACCGCAUAAAAUCACGAAGCGGCAUCGUUUUGUGAUCAAAUCUCCGGAGGUUACAGAUGAGCAUGCGUGACAUUAGCUAGUUGGUGAGGUAACGGCCCACCAAGGCUACGAUGUCUAGGGGGUCUGAGAGGAUGA